rnacentral:tRNA from 1 species
UCAAGGCAUAGCCAAGCUAGCCAAAGCAUCUCCCUUACACUGAGAUAUCACCCGUGCAAAUCGGGUUGCCUUGAA